UAAUUGAGUAACCUCUCGGAUGCCCGCAAGGGCGUAACAGGGAAGUCCGGUGAGAAACCGGCGCGGUCCCGCCACUGUAAGUGGGAAGCAACCUCCAUUCAAGCCACUCGACGAACUCGUCGCGGAAGGCUGGGGGAAGCGUUGAAGGACUGACCUUCAGAACCUACGAGCCAGGAGACCUAUCCGAGGUGACAGAGCAUU
rnacentral:ncRNA from 2 species